rnacentral:rRNA from 1 species
UAAUACUGGAUAGGCAAUUAUUCCUGUAAUGGUUUUUUGUUUAAAUGUUUUUUCGCCUAAGGAUGGGUCUGCGGCCGAUUAGGUAGUUGGUUAGGUAAUGGCUUACCAAGCCUUUGAUCGGUACGGGUUGUGAGAGCAAGAGCCCGGAGAUGGAACCUGAGACAAGGUUCCAGGCCCUACGGGGUGCAGCAGGCGCGAAACCUCCGCAAUGUGAGAAAUCGCGACGGGGGGAUCCCAAGUGCCAUUCUUAACGGGAUGGCUUUUCUUUAGUGUAAAAAGCUUUUGGAAUAAGAGCUGGGCAAGACCGGUGCCAGCCGCCGCGGUAACACCGGCAGCUCUAGUGGUAGCAAUUUUUAUUGGGCCUAAAGCGUCCGUAGCCGGUUUAAUAAGUCUCUGGUGAAAUCCUGUAGCUUAACUGUGGGAAUUGCUGGAGAUACUAUUAGACUUGAGACCGGGAGAGGUUAGAGGUACUCCCAGGGUAGAGGUGAAAUUCUGUAAUCCUGGGGGGACCGCCUGUUGCGAAGGCGUCUAACUGGAACGGUUCUGACGGUGAGGGACGAAAGUUAGGGGCGCGAACCGGAUUAGAUACCCGGGUAGUCCUAACUGUAAACGAUGCGGACUUGGUGUUG